UGGAAGAUGCGUCUUCGUUCAUU
rnacentral:miRNA from 1 species